CAAUAGCGUAUAUUAAAGUUGUUGCAGUUAAAAAGCUCGUAGUUGGACUUCUGAUGUGGAGGGACGGUCCGCCUCACGGUGAGCACUGAUUCUUCACGUCUUACUCUCGUAGUCUUUUGGCGCACUUAGUUGGGUGCCUUUAGAAUAUGGGACCUUUACUUUGAAAAAAUUAGAGUGUUCAAAGCAGGCAAUCGCUUGAAUACAUUAGCAUGGAAUAAUAGAAUAGGACUUUGGUUCUAUUUUGUUGGUUUCUAGGACCGAAGUAAUGAUUAAUAGGGACAGUUGGGGGCAUCUGUAUCAACGCGUCAGAGGUGGAAUUCUUGGAUUGCGUUGCGACAAACUACUGCGAAAGCAUUUGCCAAGGAUGUUUUCAUUGAUCAAGAACGAAAGUAAGGGGAUCGAAGAUGAUCAGAU
rnacentral:rRNA from 1 species